rnacentral:lncRNA from 10 species
UUUAAGGGUCUCACCCCAGCCUCUACGAUGUUCUCAGGAAGCCAAUAGAACACGCCUGGAUUAACAUCUGCUUCCUCAAGGCUCCAAAGCACUAGAAUAACAGGCACUCUGUACAGCAUGGAAUUGUGAGCAAAGUCCCAUGGAGACAGGAGGGGAGAAUGACGGGCUGGAGGCAGAAACUGCAGAGACUGGCUCUGCAUAGCUGCUGUGAGAAACAUCCUGGAAAUGGAGCUGAUAUCUGUGUUCUUGAGGAACCACACCAGAGGCACUAGGACCCUCUGAAAUCACGUAAAGAGCUCUGAGCU